rnacentral:rRNA from 1 species
AGAGUUUGAUCAUGGCUCAGAUUGAACGCUGGCGGCAGGCCUAACACAUGCAAGUCGAACGGUAACAUUUCUAGCUUGCUAGAAGAUGACGAGUGGCGGACGGGUGAGUAAUGCUUGGGAACUUGCCUUUGCGAGGGGGAUAACAGUUGGAAACGACUGCUAAUACCGCAUAAUGUCUUCGGACCAAACGGGGCUUCGGCUCCGGCGCAAAGAGAGGCCCAAGUGAGAUUAGCUAGUUGGUAAGGUAACGGCUUACCAAGGCGACGAUCUCUAGCUGUUCUGAGAGGAAGAUCAGCCACACUGGGACUGAGACACGGCCCAGACUCCUACGGGAGGCAGCAGUGGGGAAUAUUGCACAAUGGGGGGAACCCUGAUGCAGCCAUGCCGCGUGUGUGAAGAAGGCCUUCGGGUUGUAAAGCACUUUCAGUUGUGAGGAAAAGUUAGUAGUUAAUACCUGCUAGCCGUGACGUUAACAACAGAAGAAGCACCGGCUAACUCCGUGCCAGCAGCCGCGGUAAUACGGAGGGUGCGAGCGUUAAUCGGAAUUACUGGGCGUAAAGCGCACGCAGGCGGUUUGUUAAGCUAGAUGUGAAAGCCCCGGGCUCAACCUGGGAUGGUCAUUUAGAACUGGCAGACUAGAGUCUUGGAGAGGGGAGUGGAAUUCCAGGUGUAGCGGUGAAAUGCGUAGAUAUCUGGAGGAACAUCAGUGGCGAAGGCGACUCCCUGGCCAAAGACUGACGCUCAUGUGCGAAAGUGUGGGUA